GGCGGACGGGUGAGUAAUAUAUAGAUAACGUGCCUCUUAGUCUGGGAUAGCCAUUGGAAACGAUGAUUAAUACUAGAUACUCCUUCUUAUCACAUGAUAAGUCGGGAAAGUUUUUUCGCUAAGAGAUCGGUCUAUAUCGCAUCAGUUAGUUGGUGGGGUAACGGCCUACCAAGACAAUGACGCGUAGCGGGUUUGAGAGGAUGAUCCGCCACACUGGUACUGAGACACGGACCAGACUCCUACGGGAGGCAGCAGUGAGGAAUAUUGCACAAUGGGGGAAACCCUGAUGCAGCAACGCCGCGUGGAGGAUGACGCAUUUCGGUGUGUAAACUCCUUUUAUGAGUCAAGAAAAUGACGGUAGCUCAUGAAUAAGCACCGGCUAACUCCGUGCCAGCAGCCGCGGUAAUACGGAGGGCGCAAGCGUUACUCGGAAUCACUGGGCGUAAAGGACGCGUAGGCGGGUUAUCAAGUCAGGUGUGAAAUCCUAUGGCUCAACCAUAGAACUGCACUUGAAACUGGUAACCUAGAGUAUGGGAGGGGCAGAUGGAAUUAGUAGUGUAGGGGUAAAAUCCGUAGAUAUUACUAGGAAUACCGAAAGCGAAGGCGAUCUGCUGGAACAUUACUGACGCUAAGGCGUGAAAGCGUGGGGAGCAAACGGGAUUAGAUACCCCGGUAGUCCACGCCCUAAACGAUGAACACUAGUCGUCGGGGAGCUAGUCUCUUCGGUGAUGCACUUAACAGAUU
rnacentral:rRNA from 2 species